AGGAACAUAAUAGGUUUUUUGAACAUCAAAGCAUGUAAACAUAUUCUUGUAGACCCAAGAGUACAAAUAUGAUGCUGGAAAGGAGUAUAAUAGGAGCUCUUUACAAAAUUAAUAACGUGACAC